rnacentral:rRNA from 1 species
UACGGAGGGUGCAAGCGUUGUCCGGAAUUAUUGGGCGUAAAGAGCUCGUAGGCGGUCUGUCGCGUCGGCUGUGAAAACCCGGAGCUCAACUCCGGGCCUGCAGUCGAUACGGGCAGACUGGAGUUCGGCAGGGGAGACUGGAAUUCCUGGUGUAGCGGUGAAAUGCGCAGAUAUCAGGAGGAACACCGGUGGCGAAGGCGGGUCUCUGGGCCGAUACUGACGCUGAGGAGCGAAAGCGUGGGGAGCGAACAGG